AUUGAACGCUGGCGGAAUGCUUUACACAUGCAAGUCGAACGGCAGCACGGACUUCGGUCUGGUGGCGAGUGGCGAACGGGUGAGUAAUGUAUCGGAACGUGCCCAGUCGUGGGGGAUAACGUAGUGAAAAUUACGCUAAUACCGCAUACGAUCUAUGGAUGAAAGCGGGGGAUCGCAAGACCUCGCGCGAUUGGAGCGGCCGAUAUCAGAUUAGGUAGUUGGUGGGGUAAAGGCCCACCAAGCCAACGAUCUGUAGCUGGUCUGAGAGGACGAACAGCAACACGGGGACUGAGACACGGUCCAGACUCCUACGGGAGGCAGCAGUGGGGAAUUUUGGGCAAUGGGGGAAAGCCGGAUCCAGCCAUUCCGCGUGCAGGAUGAAGGCCCUCGGGUUGUAAACUGCUUUUGUACAGAACGAAAAGGUUUCUACUAAUACUAGGAGCUCAUGACGGUACUGUAAGAAUAAGCACCGGCUAACUACGUGCCAGCCGCCGCAGUAA
rnacentral:rRNA from 1 species